rnacentral:rRNA from 1 species
GUGCCAGCAGCCGCGGUAAGACGAACCGUGCGAACGUUGUUCGGAUUCACUGGGCUUAAAGGGCGCGUAGGCGGGUUCUCAAGUCCGGGGUGAAAUCCUCUCGCUUAACGAGAGAACUGCCUUGGAUACUGAGGACCUCGAGGGAGGUAGGGGCAUGUGGAACUUCCGGUGGAGCGGUGAAAUGCGUAGAUAUCUGGAGGAACACCGGUGGCGAAAGCGGCUCACUGGACCGAAUCUGACACUGAGGUGCGAAAGCUAGGGUAGCAAACGGGAUUAGAAACCCCCGUAGUCC